CAAAGGUUUGGUCCCAGCCUUCCUAUUAACCCCUAGCAGACUUACACAUGCAAGUAUCCACAUUCCAGUGAAAAUGCCCUCCAAAUCAAUAAAAUCAAGAGGAGCUGGUAUCAAGCUCACACUCGUAGCUCAUGACGCCUUGCUCAGCCACACCCCCACGGGAAACAGCAGUGAUAAAAAUUAAGCUAUAAACGAAAGUUUGACUAAGUUAUGCUAAUUAGGGUUGGUAAAUUUCGUGCCAGCCACCGCGGUCAUACGAUUAACCCAAGCUAAUAGGCACACGGCGUAAAGCGUGUUUAAACACUAUGCCAAAUAAAGUUAAACUCUAAUUAAGCUGUAAAAAGCCAUAAUCAAGACGAAAAUAAAUAACGAAAGUAACUUUAUAAUCGCUGAAACACGAUAGCUAAGAUCCA
rnacentral:rRNA from 3 species